UGAGGAAUAUUGGGCAAUGCCCGCAAGGGUGACCCAGCAACGCCGCGUGGAGGAUGAAUGCCGUAAGGUUGUAAACUCCUGUUAGAGGGGACGAAAUAUUCAGCUUCGUAAGAAUCUGAAUUUGACUGUACCCUCAGAGAAAGCCCCGGCUAACUACGUGCCAGCAGCCGCGGUAAUACGUAGGGGGCAAGCGUUGUCCGGAUUCACUGGGUGUAAAGGGCGCGCAGGCGGGUUAAUAAGUCAGAGGUGAAAUCCUACAGCUCAACUGUAGAACUGCCUUUGAUACUGUUAAUCUUGAGUUCGGAAGAGAGAGACGGAAUUCCAGGUGUAGUGGUGAAAUACGUAGAUAUCUGGAAGAACACCAGUAGCGAAGGCGGUCUCUUGGUCCGAUACUGACGCUCAGGCGCGAAAGCGUGGGUAGCAAACAGG
rnacentral:rRNA from 1 species